GAUGAACGCUGGCGGCGUGCCUAAUACAUGCAAGUCGAGCGAACAGACGAGGAGCUUGCUCCUCUGACGUUAGCGGCGGACGGGUGAGUAACACGUGGAUAACCUACCUAUAAGACUGGGAUAACUUCGGGAAACCGGAGCUAAUACCGGAUAACAUGUUGAACCGCAUGGUUCAACAGUGAAAGACGGUCUUGCUGUCACUUAUAGAUGGAUCCGCGCCGCAUUAGCUAGUUGGUAAGGUAACGGCUUACCAAGGCAACGAUGCGUAGCCGACCUGAGAGGGUGUUCGCCCACACGGAACCUGGGACACGGCCCAGACCCCUAGGGAAGGCACCGGUGGGAAUCCUUCCGAAAUGGGCGAAACCUUAAGGAGGAAACGCGCGGUGGUGGAGGAGGUUCUUCGAUUCGAAAACCCUGGUUUUUGGGAAAAAAAAAUGUGUAAGUAACUAUGCACGUCUUGACGGUACCUAAUCAGAAAGCCACGGCUAACUACGUG
rnacentral:rRNA from 1 species